rnacentral:rRNA from 1 species
GAUAAACGCUGGCGGCGUGCCUAACACAUGCAAGUCGAACGCGCUCAGCAAGUGAGCGAGUGGCGGACGGGUGAGUAGCACGUGGGCAAUCUACCUUUCGGUGAGGAAUACCGGCGAGAAAUCGCCGACAAUACCGCAUAUCCUUGGCAACAAGGAAAGUCGCAAGACGCCGGAGGAGGAGCCUGCGCCCGAUUAGCUAGUUGGUGGGGUAAGAGCCUACCAAGGCGACGAUCGGUAGCUGGUCUGAGAGGAUGAUCAGCCACACUGGGAUUGAGAACGGCCCAGACUCCUACGGGGGCAGCAGUGAGGAAUUUUCGUCAAUGGGGCAACCCUGAACGAGCAACGCCGCGUGCAGGAUGAC